rnacentral:tRNA from 1 species
AUUUAUAUAGUUUAACAAAAACAUUACAUUUUCACUGUAAAAAUAAAGAAAUUAUCUUUUAUAGAUU